AAAUUAUUAAGAAAAUUAUAAACUAAAAUGUACAGAACUUAUGUUUCACAAUAGAACUCAUAAUUUAUUGACAUCAUGACUAUUAACAAAUGGCUUAUGUCAAACUGUGUGGCAGCUUCCUUCACCUUUGCCCCCAUCCUUUAUACCAUUUUACAUGUGUUGGCAUAGGAAAAGCAAAUAAGACAAUACCAAUAAUGGACAAGAUUAUA
rnacentral:misc_RNA from 1 species